UCAAUAAGCGGAGGAAAAGAAACCAACAGGGAUUGCCCUAGUAACGGCGAGUGAAGCGGCAACAGCUCAAAUUUGAAAUCUGGCGCAAGCCCGAGUUGUAAUUUGUAGAGGAUGCUUCUGGGUAGCGGCCGGUCUAAGUUCCUUGGAACAGGACGUCACAGAGGGUGAGAAUCCCGUAUGUGAUCGGCCCGCGCCCUCUACGUAGCUCCUUCGACGAGUCGAGUUGUUUGGGAAUGCAGCUCUAAAUGGGAGGUAAAUUUCUUCUAAAGCUAAAUACCGGCCAGAGACCGAUAGCGCACAAGUAGAGUGAUCGAAAGAUGAAAAGCACUUUGGAAAGAGAGUUAAACAGCACGUGAAAUUGUUGAAAGGGAAGCGCUUGCAACCAGACUUGACGGCGGUGUUCCCCCGGGCUUCUGCCCGGGUCAUUCACCGUCUUCAGGCCAUCAUCGUCUGGGGCCGCCGGAGAAACCGUCAGGAAUGUGGCUCCCUCGGGAGUGUUAUAGCCUGUCGACAUGCGGCGUGCCCCGGGCGAGGUCCGCGCUUAGGCAAGGAUGAUGGCGUAAUGGUUGUCAGCGGCCCGUCUUGAAACACGGACCAAGGAGUCUAACAUCUAUGCGAGUGUUCGGGUGUCAAACCCCUACGCGUAAUGAAAGUGAACGGAGGUGGGAGCUUCGGCGCACCAUCGACCGAUCCUGAUGUCCUCGGAUGGAUUUGAGUAAGAGCAUAGCUGUUGGGACCCGAAA
rnacentral:rRNA from 1 species